UACGUAGGGGGCGAGCGUUGUCCGGAUUUAUUGGGCGUAAAGAGCGUGUAGGCGGCCAGGUAGGUCUGCUGUGAAAACUCGAGGCUCAACCUCGAGACGUCGGUUGAAACCAUCUGGCUAGAGUCCGGAAGAGGAGAGUGGAAUUCCCGGUGUAGCGGUGAAAUGCGCAGAUAUCGGGAAGAACACCCGUGGCGAAGGCGGCUCUCUGGGACGGUACUGACGCUGAGACGCGAAAGCGUGGGGAGCGAACAGG
rnacentral:rRNA from 1 species